AUUGAACGCUGGCGGCAUGCUUUACACAUGCGAGUCGAACGGCAGCGCGGGCUUCGGCCUGGCGGCGAGUGGCGAACGGGUGAGUAAUGCAUCGGAACGUGCCCAGUAGUGGGGGAUAGCCCGGCGAAAGCCGGAUUAAUACCGCAUACGACCUGAGGGUGAAAGCGGGGGACCGAAAGGCCUCGCGCUAUUGGAGCGGCCGAUGUCGGAUUAGCUAGUUGGUGGGGUAAAGGCUUACCAAGGCGACGAUCCGUAGCUGGUCUGAGAGGACGACCAGCCACACUGGGACUGAGACACGGCCCAGACUCCUACGGGAGGCAGCAGUGGGGAAUUUUGGACAAUGGGGGCAACCCUGAUCCAGCCAUGCCGCGUGCGGGAAGAAGGCCUUCGGGUUGUAAACCGCUUUUGUUCGGGAAGAAAUCCUCUGGGCUAAUACCCCGGGGGGAUGACGGUACCGGAAGAAUAAGCACCGGCUGACUACGUG
rnacentral:rRNA from 1 species